AUUAUACUGAAAUAGUUUUGCCAUGUAUUUUACAAUAGAAAGCAAGCAUCGGUUACGUAAACCUUCAUAUCUUACAGGAAAAGGAGAUUACAAACAUCAAAUUUAAUUAUACAGGCAAACCAAUGACAAAUUAGAACAAAACUACUGUAUAAUACAUGGCAAAACUAUUUCAGUAUAAUCUUGGCAAAAUUUUCAGCAGCAGUUUCAAAUAUUGUCAUACUUGAUAGUCUUCAAAAUGCUGAUAACUUUACAUAUUUUUACAUCUUGCUUGUCCCUUUUCAUUGCCAUUGAUUAUGGGAACUCCGCUCUGUUGGUGAUCCAGGAACAAAGGGUACAAAACCCCGACCACCAAACACAGGACGCAUAAAUGCAUCAUCAAACUUACGCCAGUAGUAAUGAACGGU
rnacentral:misc_RNA from 1 species